rnacentral:lncRNA from 1 species
GCCUGGUCACGCCACACAUUUUUUAAACUAGAUAUCCCAAAGAUGAUUAUGGCCAAGUUUGGAUUAAUUUGGCCCAGUAGUUUCAGAGGAGAAGAUUUUUGUAAAAGAUUACUAAGAUUUACAAAAAAUGGUUAAAAAUUGACUAUAAAGGUCAAUAACUCCUAAAGGGGUCAACUGACCAUUUUGGUCAUGUUGACUUAUUUGUAAAUCUUAUUUUGCUGAACAUUAUUGCUGUUUACAGUUUAUCUCUAUCUAUAAUAAUAUUCAAGAUAAUAGCCAAAAACAGCAAAAAUUCCCCAAAAUUACCAGUUCAGGGGCAGCAACCCAAUAACGGGUUGUCGCAUUCAUUUGAAAAUUUGAGGGCAGAUAGAUCUUGACCUGAUAAACAAUUUUACCUAUGUCAGAUUUGCUCUAAAUGCUUUGGUUUUUGAGUUAUAAGCCAAAAACUGCAUUUUACCCCUAUGUUCUAUUUUUAGCCAUGGCGGCCAUCUUGGUUGGUUGGCCGGGUCACGCCACACAUUUUUUAAACUAGAUACCC